rnacentral:rRNA from 1 species
UAAACGAGGUAGAAGCUGAGCACUCUAGACGACUCGCGUUGAACAAACGGAGGAAGGUGGGGAUGACGUCAAAUCAUCAUGCCCCUUAUGUUCUGGGCUACACACGUGCUACAAUGGCCGGUACAGACGGAGGCGAAGCCGCGAGGCGGAGCAAAUCCGAAAAAGCCGGUCUCAGUUCGGAUUGCAGGCCGCAAUUCGCCUGCAUGAAGUCGGAAUCGCUAGUAGUCGCAGGUCAGCAUACUGCGGUGAAUACGUUCCCGGGCCUU